rnacentral:rRNA from 1 species
UACGUAGGGCGCGAGCGUUAAUCGGAAUUACUGGGCGUAAAGCGCGCGUAGGCGGUUUUUUAAGUCCGCUGUGAAAUCCCCGGGCUUAACCUGGGAAUGGCAUUUGGGACUGCAAGGCUUGAGUGCGGCAGAGGAGACUGGAAUUCCUGGUGUAGCGGUGAAAUGCGUAGAUAUCAGGAGGAAUACCGAUGGCGAAGGCAGGUCUCUGGGCUGACACUGACGCUGAUGCGCGAAAGCGUGGGGAGCAAACAGG